rnacentral:rRNA from 1 species
CCUACGGGGCGCUGCAGUGAGGAAUAUUGGUCCAUGGCCGCAGGGCUGAACCAGCCAAGUCGCGUGAGGGAUGACGGUCCUAUGGAUUGUAAACCUCUUUUGUCAGGGAGCAAAGGGCGCCACGUGUGGCGUUUUGCGAGUACCUGAAGAACAAGCAUCGGCUAACUCCGUGCCAGCAGCCGCGGUAAUACGGAGGAUGCGAGAGUUAUCCGGAUUUAUUGGGUUUAAAGGGUGCGCAGGCGGAAUGUCAAGUCAGCGGUAAAAUUUCGGGGCUCAACCCCGUCGUGCCGUUGAAACUGGUGUUCUUGAGUGAGCGAGAAGUAUGCGGAAUUCGUGGGGUAGCGGUGAAAUGCUUAGAUAUCACGAAGAACCCCGAUUGCGAAGGCAGCUUACUAAACUGUGACUGACAUUGAUGCUCGAAAGUGUGGGUAUCAAACAGGAUUAGAUACCCUUGGAGUC